AGAGUUUGAUUCUGGCUCAGGAUGAACGCUAGCGGCAGGCUUAACACAUGCAAGUCGAGGGGCAGCGGGAUGUAGCAAUACAUUGCCGGCGACCGGCGGAUGGGUGCGUAACGCGUAUGCAACCUACCUUAUACAGGGGAAUAACCUUUCGAAAGGGAGACUAACACCCCAUAGUAUUGAUUUAAGGCAUCUUAGAUUAAUUAAAUAUUUAUAGGUAUAAGAUGGGCAUGCGUAUGAUUAGCUAGUUGGUAAGGUAACGGCUUACCAAGGCGACGAUCAUUAGGGGUUCUGAGAGGAAGGUCCCCCACACUGGUACUGAGACACGGACCAGACUCCUACGGGAGGCAGCAGUGAGGAAUAUUGGUCAAUGGGCGCAAGCCUGAACCAGCCAUGCCGCGUGCAGGAAAAGACGGCCUUAUGGGUUGUAAACUGCUUUUACAUAAGACUAACCGUAUAUUUGCGAAUAUACCUGAAUGUAUUAUGAGAAUAAGGAUCGGCUAACUCCGUGCCAGCCGCAGC
rnacentral:rRNA from 1 species